AAAAUCAGUAGAAAGCUGACAUACUAAGUUUGGAAAAUUGGCAGAAGCCAAAAGAGAUCUGGAGCAUGAACAGCAGGAGCCAGAGGAAGGGCAUGCAUCAGGAAUCCGAUGGUUUGCACACCAGCUAAGCUGCUGCUUGAAACCUGACCUCCCAGUGUCCCUCUGCCACUAGAAUAGGGUUCAACUUUUCAGAUUAGGUCACAUGGCCAAAUCCUGGCUGUCAUCUGUAGGUGGAAAAGGGAAGAAUAUGUCUUACUUUUCCCAAAAGAACUAACAGCUUGAGGAAGUUUGGUGUGAGAGGUGAGCCCCAGCAAUUUCCAUUCAGCCUGAGACCUGAAGAAGAUGGAAACCCAGAAUGAGCACUGACUGAACAAGAAAAAAGAAAGCUUGCUCUCUAGUCAAAGUACAAGGAAAGGAGAAGCACAGCAAGAAAGAAAACUUUUUGAAAAUAACCUCUCUAUUCCAGCCAAACAAAACGGAAAAUAAGUUGUUGCCCUACUCUCACCCAUCCUAUUUAAGAACUACUAGACCUAGAUAUCCCCCCACAAAAGAAUCUAACAAGUUGCCUCCAAAAUCUCAUUGUGGUGGUAUCAGAGAGGACUAAAUAGGGAGAAUGUGGUCUUCUACCCCACCAAGCAAUAAGGAAGUUCAGCUUUUCCUCUCAGCUUAAAUGGUGUCUUAGGAGGUCUAAUGCAAAGUCAGAACUUUUGCCAUCACUCAGCUGUACAGAACCUGCACCCACUACGUUGUCAUAGAGAUCACCUGAGAAACCAAUUGCCAACACUAGCCCUGCAGUAAAAAGGAAGGAGCUGCCCAUUCCCAUCACUCAAAUGUCAAUAGAGGUCAAGUGAGGAAUCCUGAACUUCUACCUCCAAAUAGCAGUAAUAAGGUGGUGCCCUCUAUCCCCUACCAGAGCAGAGAAAUAUUGUUAAAACAGAAGUUUUAAGUAAAAUCCAGAGUUUCAUAGCACAAUACGAAAAUGUCUGAGUUUUAAUAGACAAUCACUUAUCAUGCCAAGAACCAGGAAGAUGUCAAACUGAAUUAAAAAAAACACUCAGUUGUGGCAGUGGGCUGAGAUCGUGCUGGUGCACUCCAGCCUGGACAACAGAGUGAGACACCAUCUCAAAAAACAAACAAACAAACAAACAAAAAAAACCACUCGAUGGCAAGUUGACAGCAAUAUAAUGAAAAUAAUUGUGUAACAUCACUGAUAUUUUUUGGCUGUGUCCCCACCCAAAUCUCAUCUUGAAUUGUAACUCCCUCAAUUUCCAUGUGUUGUGGGAGGAACCCAGUGGGAGGUAAUUGAAUCAUGGGGACGGGUCUUUCCUGUGCUGUUCUCAUGAUAGUGAAUAAGUCUCAUAAGAUGUGACAGUUUUAAAAAUGGGAGUUUCCCUGCACAGGUUCUCCCUCUUGCCACUGCCAUGUAAGAAGUGGCUUUUGCCUUCCUCCAUGAUGGUGAGACCUCCCCAGCCACAUGGAACUGAAAGUCCAUUAAACUUCUUUCAUUUUUAAACUGCCCAGUC
rnacentral:lncRNA from 1 species